rnacentral:rRNA from 1 species
AGAGUUUGAUCCUGGCUCAGGAUGAACGCUGACAGAAUGCUUAACACAUGCAAGUCAUUGGCGAAGCUGCGCUUGCGCAGUCUAGCCAAGGCGGACGGGUGAGUAACGCGUAAGGAACUUGCCCUGCAGACAGGGAUAACAGACGGAAACGACUGAUAACACCUGGUAUUGUCAGGCUGGCGCAUGCCGGCCUGAUGAAAGGAGACGCUGCAGGAGAGCCUUGCGUCCUAUUAGCUAGUUGGUGGGGUAACGGCCCACCAAGGCGAUGAUAGGUAGCCGGCCUGAGAGGGUGAACGGCCACAAGGGGACUGAGAUACGGCCCUUACUCCUACGGGAGGCAGCAGUGGGGAAUAUUGGACAAUGGGGGCAACCCUGAUCCAGCAAUUCUGUGUGCACGAAGAAGGUUUUCGGAUUGUAAAGUGCUUUCAGCAGGGAAGAAGAAAGUGACGGUACCUGCAGAAGAAGCGACGGCUAAAUACGUGCCAGCAGCCGCGGUAAUACGUAUGUCGCAAGCGUUAUCCGGAAUUAUUGGGCAUAAAGGGCAUCUAGGCGGCCCUGUAAGUCUAGGGUGAAAACCUGCGGCUCAACCGCAGGCCUGCCCCGGAAACUACAGGGCUAGAGUAUCGGAGAGGUGGACGGAACUGCACGAGUAGAGGUGAAAUUCGUAGAUAUGUGCAGGAAUGCCGAUGAUGAAGAUAGUUCACUGGACGGUAACUGACGCUGAAGUGCGAAAGCUGGGGGAGCGAACAGGAUUAGAUACCCUGGUAGUCCCAGCCGUAAACGAUGAUUACUGGGUGUGGGCAUGAAGAGUGUCCGUGCCGAAGCUAAUGCGAUAAGUAAUCCGCCUGGGGAGUACGGCCGCAAGGCUGAAACUCAAAGGAAUUGACGGGGACCCGCACAAGCGGUGGAGCAUGUGGUUUAAUUCGACGCAACGCGAGGAACCUUACCAGAUCUUGACAUCCUACGAAUGCCUGUGAGAACAGGCAGUGCCUUCGGGAACGUAGAGACAGGUGGUGCAUGGCUGUCGACAGCUCGUGUCGUGAGAUGUUGGGUUAAGUCCCGCAACGAGCGCAACCCCUAUCGUUAGUUACCAUCAUUAAGUUGGGGACUCUAGCGAGACUGCCUGCGAAGAGCAGGAGGAAGGCGGGGAUGACGUCAAGUCAUCAUGCCCCUUAUGAUCUGGGCUACACACGUGCUACAAUGG